ACCAAGCCAGGAAGAGGACAGAAAACCUGGAGGAGCCCAAAGGGGUGCAGGAACUUCUGACAGGUGUAUGGUGGGAGGACUGGACCAGGAGGCAUUGAUGAGAACUCAGCCAGAACAUUCUAGAAUUACAAGGAACAACCGGCCUGAUUAAUAUGCGGAAUCUUGGCAAGGCAGAAACGAUUCUCAGAGUGACGCCUGAAGCUGAAGCAAUUAACACAAUGUUACACGACCGAAAGCUGAGGCAAGGGGCCAGUGUGGAGCCAUGGUUUUCUGAGGAAGUGACUUUGGACAACCAUGGUGUACACAGAGGCUGUCAUCACUCAAUAUUAAUUGAUCCUACU
rnacentral:lncRNA from 1 species